UACACAGAGAAACACUGUCUGGAAAAACCAAGAGAGAGAGAGAGAGAGAUUGAUUUUUUUUUCUACUUCUAUCAUGUUUAAUGUACCAAAUAGAUUUUUAAAACUGGUUGGGUGAAUAUUGCUUUUAGCUUCAGAAGACAUCAUGUAUAUUUAAGAGGCAUUUAACUAUUACAAAAUUUUUAUGACUUUAAAAUAUAAUGUCUCAAAAAGAAAAAAAAACUUAAAAAAAAAAAAAGGAAUGCAUUGUCUUGUCGGAUUGUUCCUUUUUCUUCUAAGUUUAUAACCUGUGCGGGUGAGGAGUUGGCUGAAGGCAUAAGCCUGGGGAGUGGAGUUUGGAUCCGGGACGUCCGUGUAAAAGCCAAGCAUGCUGGCGUGCACUUCUCACAGCAGUGCUGGGGACGGGGACAGUUGAGGAAGAUGCCUGGUGUUGACUGACGGCUGGUCUCCACGAGUGUACUCAUGACCUCACAAAUGCACACACAAUUUUUUGUUUUGUUUUUCGAGACAGGGUUUCUCUGUGUAGCCCUGGCUGACCUGGAACUCACUCUGUAGACUAGGCUGGCCUCGAACUCAGAAAUCCCCCUGCCUCUGCCUCCCAAGUGCUGGCAUUAAAGGCGUUCACCACCACUACCCACACACACAAUUUUUAACCUGCUUAUCAACCAUGGGGGUGUUGACUGAGGUCCCACUAAUUUUGGGAGAGGGUUAAUGAUGGGCCUUGCAAUUCAGAAACAUGGUUAAUAGUGUAUGUAAGAAAUAUCUGCUUGGAUCUGGAGAAAUAGCCCAGAAGUUAAGAGCACUGGCUGCUCUUCAGAGGUCUAGGGUUCGAUUCUCAGCACCUACAUGGUGGCUCACAGACAUUCAUGCAGGCAAAACACCCGUGCACAUAAAGCUAAAAGAAAAUGCAUAGUACAAAAUCUUGGAUAAAAUGGAUAAAAAUGAAUAAAUAAGAACUCUAGGAUUCUCUUUAUGGCUUUUGGACAGUCGUUUUUAGACAGUGCAUUAUGUAGUCUUGACUGUCCUGGAAUUCACUGUAUAAACUAGACUGCCCUUGAAUUCAUAUAGAUCUACCUGCCUGAGACUAUAAAGGCGUGCACCACCCCUUCUAGUGGAUUUUCCUUGUGUGCCCUGUAGAUUUCUCUGUCCAAUCUUGAGGUCAUUACACUUACAAUCUAAUAAUGAAUUAGGAGUGCUUUGGAUUCAUUUUCUCCGGGGCCUUGUGUGUGUGAGACAGUCUUCUGCUGUACAUUUGGGGACUUUUAGCACAUCACAUAUGUCAGUCUUCCAUGCGAUAUGAGUGUUGGACAGAACGCUGACAUCCAUAAACACAGAGGGAAAUGACAAAUUCAUACCUCAAACUAGGUUAAAUAAACUUACUGUGCUGUCCUCUUCUCAUUUCACAGAUAUAAGACACCCUGAAGAACUUUCUCUCUUAAAAAAACCCAGAGAUCCC
rnacentral:lncRNA from 1 species